UACGUAGGUGGCGAGCGUUGUCCGGAAUUACUGGGCGUAAAGCGCACGUAGGCGGCUUUGUAAGUUAGAGGUGAAAGCCCGGGGCUCAACUCCGGAAUUGCCUUUAAGACUGCAUCGCUAGAAUUGUGGAGAGGUAAGUGGAAUUCCGAGUGUAGAGGUGAAAUUCGUAGAUAUUCGGAAGAACACCAGUGGCGAAGGCGACUUACUGGACACAUAUUGACGCUGAGGUGCGAAAGCGUGGGGAGCAAACAGG
rnacentral:rRNA from 1 species